rnacentral:lncRNA from 1 species
GGUAAAUCUGUCACAAGGGUCUGCGAGGCCCCGUAUUUAUGAAGCGAGUGUAGAGUGGUCAGUCUAAAAAGCUCCUUAGCGCAGUACUCUGAAUUUUAAAUUACACACAUAAUUCAAAGGUAAUGUAACUUGCCGUGUCGGACUUUAGUCCAUUCCGUUAAAUGGAGAAAAAUGACUGACGUGAAGAAUGACUUAUUGAUUCUUGGUGGGAAAAUGACUUCUGUAAUAUAGGAAGUAUGGUAAAAGGAAUAGCUUAAUUAUUUAGGGAGCACUUUUCAAAAUAUGCUUUUACAGCAGUACAAAUUGUAUAUAUACAAACGGUUCGACUAGGUUCUUUUUUUUAAUUCUUUGGUCAGGGAAAGUUAUG